UACAGAGGGUGCGAGCGUUGUUCGGAAUUACUGGGCGUAAAGCGCGCGCAGGCGGCUUUCUAAGUCCGUCGGUGAAAGACCGGGGCUCAACCCCGUGUCAGCCAUGGAUACUGGGAGGCUGGAGACAGGUAGAGGCAAGCGGAAUUCCGGGGUGUAGCGGUGGAAUGCGUAGAUAUCCGGAAGAACACCGGAGGCGAAGGCGGCUUGCUGGACCUGGUCUGACGCUGAGGCGCGAAAGCGUGGGGAGCGAACAGG
rnacentral:rRNA from 1 species